UACGUAGGGAGCAAGCGUUGUCCGGAAUCAUUGGGCGUAAAGCGCGCGUAGGUGGCCCGGUAAGUCCGCUCUGAAAGUCACAGGCUCAACCUGUGAAAGCGGGUGGAUACUGCCGGGCUAGAGUCCGGAAGAGGCGAGUGGAAUUCCUGGUGUAGCGGUGGAAUGCGCAGAUAUCAGGAGGAACACCAACGGCGAAGGCAGCUCGCUGGGCAUUAACUGACGCUGAGGAGCGAAAGCAUGGGGAGCGAACAGG
rnacentral:rRNA from 1 species